CCGCCGCGCCGCGUCACUACGUGCCGCGCGCGCCCUGUCGCUCGUCGCGCUCCCGCGACCAGUAGGCGUGCCGAGGGUGACUCGACGACGGAGAGCCGCGUGUGAGGGUUUAACGCCGCGCGUCGGGGAGAGGCAUAUCACGACGCAGUCCCCGCAACCCCCGGGGUGAGUCCGGAAGGAGAGGAGUCUCUCAUCAUCCCCGAGCGAGCAGGAUGUCUCUCGCGAGAUGCGAGUAGGUCGCGGCUGCGCUCGCGGUGGACGCGUUAACUCGGUGUGGCGAGUGCGAGGAUGCAACCGUGAUUUCGGCGAGUCCGGUAAACGAUGAUCUUCUGGAUCUGUUUUCUUCGUUUUUCCUGUGCCUGGGAUAGACACUGACGAUAUGGAUACAAUAUGGCUUCGGUACACUGGCAUGCCUCUGGGAAUAGUUUUCUCUCGCCAGUCUUCGUGUUACUCUUGUUGCUCUGUCCGCACAACUCUACAGCCCGCGAGGUAAUUGACGCACCGCCGCCGCAACGAGACUACGUUCCAUCACUGCCACCACCACCGGGAGGUCUCACCACUGCCAGAACACCAAAGUGUGACCAAAAGUUCGUAAGCACUCCUAACGGGCCGUUGAAUGGGUCCUUCCAUGCACCGACGUUGAUCAACCCCGAGGGCGAGCCGCGACAGUGCGUUUUCACGUUCCUCGCGGGUCCGCAUCAGCGUGUCGAAUUGAUCUUCCAGCACUUCGGUCUUCGAGGAAAACCGCCAGAUGGGUCUGCUGUGGGAGAAUUGCCUGCCUGUGUUCACGAAUACAUGGACAUAUACUCGGAGAUACGAUCGGAGAAUACGACCAAGCUGAUAGAAACGCCGUUUGGUGGACGGUUUUGCGGGCCAAUUCCACCUCGCCGACGAGUCUCUCUUUAUCAGGGAAUCGCGCUCAGUUUCUUCACCGACAAGAAUGUCACGUUUCCGAACAUCUUCAGUGGUGUCUACAGAUUCCUCAAUGCUUCCGAGUAUGAAGUGGGCGCACUGGAACCGAACACGCCGUGCACCUUCACGAUACGCGAGCAAGCGAAACGUACCGGGAACAUAUUGUCACCCACUUAUCCUGGCUCCUAUCCGAAGGACCUCGUUUGCAGCUACCAGUUCAUCGGGAAGCCAGGGCAACGUGUGCGAUUGGAAUUCCGCGACUUCGAUCUGUUCUUCGGCGGGCCGCAUUGUCCGUUGGAUUACGUGAAGGUGUACGACGGUCUUAAUAGUUCAAACGCCGUCAUCGGCACGUACUGCGGCCAGCAGCGAAAUUUGGUGUUGUACUCCUCGGAGAAUAGUUUGUUCGUGCUGUUCGUCACACUAAAGCGCACGGCGAACACGCAGAAUCGAGGAUUCAAAGGCAUUUUCGAGUUCUCGGAGAGUUUCGUUAGUUUGGACUUUAUAACGGAGUACCAUGGCGAGCAUAUCCGUGGAUCCGAGUGCGACCAAAAGAUUCUCAGCAAGAAGGAGACCUCGGGAUUCGUAGUUAGCCCAAAUUUUCCAUAUCCUUAUAUACCUAAGGUCGUCUGCCGCUAUUUUAUCUAUGGGAUGCAAGACUCGCAGCAUUUGGAACGGGUGCGACUGGAGUUUUCACAAUUCAUGAUACAGAUGCCGAAAGGAGAAGCAUCGUGCACCGAUGGCUAUCUGAAAUUGUAUCUGAAGGGGCAGGAAGCAACAGACUCUUACGACAAAUUCGAUUACGAGAUGUGUGGUAACAAAAGCAAUCCGAGCCAGGUAGUUAGCGACGGGCCCAGACUCGUGAUGGUGUUCAGCAGCGGGGAAUUGCAAGCGAAAGGCUUCAAAGCUAAGUACACCUUUGAGACGGAAUAUAAGAUACCGGGUACCGCGGCUCCCGACGGCACCUGCAGCUUUACCUACCGCAGUGACUCCCGCAAACGCGGAGAAUUCAAUUCGCCCCGGUAUCCGAGCAACUAUCCGAGCGACACGAAUUGCACGUACUUCUUCCUGGCGACGCCGAACGAGCAGGUCGCUUUAAUUUUCGAUCAUUUUAAAGUCCGAACGAAAAACAUCAAUGUCACAGUCGGGCAUUAUGGAUUCGAGCUUUGCCAGGACGACUGGUUGGAAAUUUACAACAUGUAUCGGGAUAAUACGGAGAAAUUGAUAGGAAGAUAUUGCGGCGGGACCGCGCCAGGCCCGGUGGAAUCGAAUCUCGGCGCUCUUGGUUUGAAAGUGAUUUUGCACUCCGAUUCCGAGCUUGUCUACAGUGGCUUCAAAGCGCGUUACACCUUCGAGGUCGCUAAACCUAUUUUUGGAGAUUGUGGAUCAAAUAUUAGUAGCUUAAAUUACGGUAUAAUAACCAGCCCGAAUUUCCCGAACAAAUAUGACGGUCCCAUGAAGAAUAUCGCCACGAAAACCUGCAACUGGUUCAUAAGGGUUCGGCCGAAUCACCAGAUCCUCUUAAACUUCGAGCUCUUUUCCGUGGAGGGCGAUCAAUUGGCACGGGGUUGCCCGGCGGCUGUCUUACGCAUGUGGUACUCGUUGACGUCCACUCCGAACGAGCUCUGCGGCGUUAAAACCACCGACGCUAACUGGGGUUUCCUCUCGGAGGAUAAUAAUAUGCGACUCAGCUUCAUAUCGGCGGACAAAGCGGUCGGGCAGCAGGGCUUCCGGGCGGUGUGGACCGAAGUGAGCACGGAUACGGACUGCCAAGAUCAAUUUCUGUGCACGAAAUCUAAGUACUGCAUCGCCGAAUCGCUGCGGUGCAAUAAUAUUGAUAAUUGCGGGCCGGAUGACGCGUCGGACGAGGAGAACUGUGCAGCAUCAGCCCCAUUGUCACCAGCACUGGCUGGGACCUCUUCUGCCAUGCUUCUUCUCUCUCUGUGCUUUGUAUUCGUGGCCGUCUGAGCCCCCUUCAUGAAGCUUCCAGACGAUCCGGCAUGUUAUGAUCUUCCCUUAUCACGCCUCGUAGCAGUUCCGGCAGACAGCUACGCAGUCCCGAUCGGCUAUGCAAUCGGCAGCAUCCUGGUAGCUCUGGUGCUUUGCCUGAUCUGCCACCGGAUGCUGAGGCGACGGGCGCGCGGCAUGCAGAUCGACG
rnacentral:misc_RNA from 1 species